rnacentral:rRNA from 1 species
GAUGGGUUGUUGCUGGUUCUCUCGGGAGCAUGUGCACGCCUUGUCAUCUUUAUAUCUCCACCUGUGCACCUUUUGUAGACCUUACAAGGUCUAUGUUGCUUCAUUUACCCCAAUGUAUGUUGAUAGAAUGUCGUCCUAUAAAAUAUAUACAACUUUCAGCAACGGAUCUCUUGGCUCUCGCAUCGAUGAAGAACGCAGCGAAAUGCGAUAAGUAAUGUGAAUUGCAGAAUUCAGUGAAUCAUCGAAUCUUUGAACGCACCUUGCGCUCCUUGGUAUUCCGAGGAGCAUGCCUGUUUGAGUGUCAUUAAUAUAUAUCAACCCUUCUCUUGUUGAAUGGUUUGGAUGUGGGGGUUUGCUGGUCUCUUAUAUAGGGUUCAGCUCCCCUGAAAUGCAUUAGCAGAAUAACCUGUUCAUUGGUGUGAUAACUAUCUACGCUUUUGAAUGUAAAGGGACAGUUCAGCUUUCUAACCGUCUUUGGACAAUCUAUCAUUUAUGUGACCUCAAAUCAGGUAGGACUACCCGCUGAACUUAAGCAUAUCAAUAAGCGGAGGAAAAGAAACUAACAAGGAUUCCCCUAGUAACUGCGAGUGAAGCGGGAAAAGCUCAAAUUUAAAAUCUGGCGGUCUUUUGGUCGUCCGAGUUGUAAUCUAGAGAAGUGUUAUCCGCGCUGGACCGUGUACAAGUCUCCUGGAAUGGAGCAUCAUAGAGGGUGAGAAUCCCGUCUUUGACAUGGACUGC